GAUGAAGAACGUAGCGAAAUGCGAUAAGUAAUGUGAAUUGCAGAAUUCAGUGAAUCAUCGAAUCUUUGAACGCACAUUGCGCCCCUUGGUAUUCCGAGGGGCAUGCCUGUUCGAGCGUCAUAUUAACCACUCCCGCUUGCGGGGUCUUGGGCUUCGCCUCCGGGCGGGCCUUAAAAUCAGUGGCGGUGCCGUCGGGCUCUACGCGUAGUAAAUUUUCUCGCGAUAGGGUCCCGGUGGAUGCUUGCCAACAACCCCCAACUUCUUAAGGUUGACCUCGGAUCAGGUAGGGAUACCCGCUGAACUUAAGCAUAUCAAUAAGCA
rnacentral:misc_RNA from 1 species